GGCAGGCUGUAGUCCUGCAAACAUGGGUUUAAGUCCUGUUUCUAUCA
rnacentral:tRNA from 1 species